GAGGAAUAGCAACAGCCCAUAUGAAUCAUAAUUCCAAGACCUUCCAUAAUAGAAAAUGACAACAAACAUGUGAUAAACCAAAAGCUGAAGUCUACAACCCAACUUACAUCCCACAAAAAUUAUUAAGUUAGUUAAAGCUGGCUAAGACAAAAGUUAGAAAGAAGCAGCAAGCAGCCAAGCACCAUGAAUGUUCUGAACUAAUCAAUACUCAAAGCUUCACCUGGACAUUCUGAAAAGAAAAAAAAAAAUAAUUACAUGUUAAACAAUAUAAAGAUAGAAUCAAAUUCAUUAUGAAUUAAAUAUAUAAAAUUACCUUCUUCAACUUGCUCAAUUUUCUUAAUUUCUUCUAGAUAAUCUUGAAGCUUG
rnacentral:lncRNA from 1 species